UACGGGGGGGGCAAGCGUUGUUCGGAAUUACUGGGCGUAAAGGGCUCGUAGGCGGCCAACUAAGUCAGACGUGAAAUCCCCAGGCUUAACCUGGGAACUGCAUCCGAUACUGGAUGGCUUGAAUCCGGGAGAGGGAUGCGGAAUUCCAGGUGUAGUGGUGAAAUGCGUAGAUAUCGGGAGGAACACCAGUGGCGAAGGCGACUUCCUGGCCUGUUCUUGACGCUGAGGCGCGAAAGCUAGGGUAGCAAACGGG
rnacentral:rRNA from 1 species